rnacentral:lncRNA from 8 species
AGCAUAUUUGUUUUAUGUUUUUAUCGUAAUGUUCCAUUGAUAUGGUAACACUAGCGUCAAAAGAUGUUAUGACACGGUCAUAACCAUGUCAUAUUAUAACAAUAGAGCCAAGAUGGAGGCGCGGUGGCAUCAAAACACUGGUGGGGGGAGAGCCAAGAUGGAGGCGCGGUGGCAUCAAAACACUGCUGGGGGAGAGCCAAGAUGGAAGCGCGGUGGCAUCAAAACAUUGGUGGGGGAGAUCCAAGAUGGAGGCGCGGUGGCAUCAAAACACUGGUGGGGGAGAGCCAAGAUGGAGGCACGGCGGCAUCAAAACACUGGUGGGGGAGAGCCAAGAUGGAGGCGCGGUGGCAUCAAAACACUGGUGGGGGAGAGCCAAGCCUCCACCUCCCCUGGAUGCAGCCUCCAUCAAGGUCUCCACCACCCCUGGAUGCAGCCUCCAUCAAGGUCUCCACCUCCCCUGGAUGCAGCCUCCAUCACGGCCUUCACCUCCCCUGGAUGCAGCCUCCAUCACGUCUCCACCUCCCCUGGAUGCAGCCUCCAUCACGGCCUUCAUCUCCCCUGGAUGCAGCCUCCAUCAAGGUCUUCCCCUCCCCUGGAUGCAGCCUCCAUCAAGGUCUCCACCACCCCUGGAUGCAGCCUCCAUCAAGGUCUUCACCACCCCUGGAUGCAGCCUCCAUCAAGGUCUCCACCACCCCUGGAUGCAGCCUCCAUCAAGGUCUCCACCACCCCUGGAUGCAGCCUCCAUCACGGCCUUCAUCUCCCCUGGAUGCAGCCUCCAUCACGUCUCCACCUCCCCUGGAUGCAGCCUCCAUCACGUCUCCACCUCCCCUGGAUGCAGCCUCCAUCACGUCUCCACCUCCCCUGGAUGCAGCCUCCAUCAAGGUCUCCACCUCCCCUGGAUGCAGCCUCCAUCAAGGUCUCCACCACCCCUGGAUGCAGCCUCCAUCAAGGUCUUCACCUCCCCUGGAUGCAGCCUCCAUCAAGGUCUCCACCACCCCUGGAUGCAGCCUCCAUCAAGGUCUCCACCUCCCCUGGAUGCAGCCUCCAUCAAGGUCUCCACCUCCCCUGGAUGCAGCCUCCAUCACGGUCUCCACCACCCCUGGAUGCAGCCUCCAUCAAGGUCUCCACCACCCCUGGAUGCAGCCUCCAUCACGGUCUUCACCUCCCCUGGAUGCAGCCUCCAUCAAGGUCUCCACCACCCCUGGAUGCAGCCUCCAUCAAGGCCUUCACCUCCCCUGGAUGCAGCCUCCAUCAAGGUCUCCACCUCCCCUGGAUGCAGCCUCCAUCAAGGUCUCCACCACCCCUGGAUGCAGCCUCCAUCACGGUCUUCACCUCCCCUGGAUGCAGCCUCCAUCAAGGUCUCCACCACCCCUGGAUGCAGCCUCCAUCACGGUCUUCACCUCCCCUGGAUGCAGCCUCCAUCAAGGUCUCCACCUCCCCUGGAUGCAGCCUCCAUCACGGCCUUCACCUCCCCUGGAUGCAGCCUCCAUCAAGGUCUUCACCUCCCCUGGAUGCAGCCUCCCAAUAGGCCAAUCCUCAUGUCUGAAUCAUAAUCCGUUCAAAAGUUACUUGAGUUUUUCCACUUGUCGGACGGCCAAAACGGGGGGGUGACUAAAUCAAUGGAGACCAGAGAUCGUGUCAGCUAGGCUGGAUUCUGAGAGAGAAUUAAGGCUACCGGCUACCUCAAAUCCGCAGGACAUAAAACAAUAUAGAGAUAAGAUGGAUAUCAAUUUUGAGACAUGACUUAGUAUUUUACCCUUUUCAUAUCCUAAAUUCCUGUCCAAAAACAAGCUUAUCUCUGUGGAAUGUCAACAGAGCACUGAGUGAAUGUUACAGGCGUCGUAUAGAGGACACCAAGGCGCAGCCUGGAGAGUGCUCAUCAUUAUAUAUUUUAAUGGAAACGAACACUAGACAAAAUAACAAAUGACAGCCAACAGUUCCGUCAGGUUAUACAAACUAAAUAGAAAGCAACUACCCACGAAAAACAAAGGGGAAAAACAGGCUGCCUAAGUAUGGUUCCCAAUCAGAGACAACGAUAGACAGCUGCCUCUGAUUGGAAACCAUACCCCGGACAAAACAUAGAAAUACAAAACAUAGAAUGCCC